UACGUAGGUGGCGAACGUUAUCCGGAGUGACUGGGUGUAAAGGGUCCGUAGGCGGGAGGAGAAGUCUGACGUGAAAGCGCCCGGCUCAACUGGGCGAGGUCGUUGGAAACUCUCUUUCUUGAAUCACGCAGAGGUCGGCGGAAUUCCCGGUGUAGUGGUGGAAUGCGUAGAGAUCGGGAGGAACCUCGAAAGCGAAGGCAGCCGACUGGGGGAUGAUUGACGCUGAGGGACGAAAGCGUGGGGAGCGAACAGG
rnacentral:rRNA from 1 species